rnacentral:rRNA from 1 species
CAUGCAAGUCGAACGGGAAAGUGGGGGCAACCCUGCGAGUAUAGUGGCAGACGGGUGAGUAACACGUGAGCAAUCUACCCUUGGGCGGGAAAUAACCUCGCGAAAGCGAGGCUAAUAUGCCAUGACAUCCCUGGGUUGCAUAAUCCGGGGAUCAAAGAUCUCGGUCGCCCGAGGAGGAGCUCGCGGCUGAUUAGCUAGUUGGUGAGGUAACGGCCCACCAAGGCGACGAUCAGUAGCCGGCCUGAGAGGAUGCCCAGCCACACUGGAACUGAGACACGGUCCAGACUCCUACGGGAGGCAGCAGUGAGGAAUAUUGCGCAAUGGGGGCAACCCUGACGCAGCAACGCCGCGUGGGUGAAGAAGGCCUUCGGGUUGUAAAACCCUUUUCUGGGGGACGAGCAAGGACGG